AUUGAACGCUGGCGGCGUGCUUAACACAUGCAAGUCGAACGCAGUGGCGAACGGGUGAGUAUCACGUGAGUAACCUGCCCCUGACUUCGGGAUAAGCCUGGGAAACUGGGUCUAAUACCGGAUAGUUGGGGAUGGGCUCGCGGCCUAUCAGUUUGUUGGUGGGGUAAUGGCCUACCAAGACGACGACGGGUAGCCGGCCUGAGAGGGCGACCGGCCACACUGGGACUGAGACACGGCCCAGACUCCUACGGGAGGCAGCAGUGGGGAAUAUUGCACAAUGGGGGAAACCCUGAUGCAGCGACGCCGCGUGGGGGAUGACGGCCUUCGGGUUGUAAACCUCUUUCAGUAGGGAAGCGGUACCUGCAGAAGAAGUACCGGCUAACUACGUGCCAGCAGCCGCGGUAAUAC
rnacentral:rRNA from 1 species